rfam:Nippostrongylus brasiliensis genome assembly, scaffold: NBR_contig0018665
GCCUCAUUGGCUCAGGGGCAGAGCGUCUGUCUAGUAAACAGAACGUCGCUGGUUCGAUUCCAGCAUGAGGCG